GACGAACGCUGGCGGCGUGCCUAAUACAUGCAAGUCGAGCGAGCGGAACCAACAGAUUUACUUCGGUAAUGACGUUGGGAAAGUGAGCGGCGGAUGGGUGAGUAACACGUGGGGAACCUGCCCCGUAGUCUGGGAUACCAUUUGGAAACAGGUGCUAAUACCGGAUAAGAAAGCAGAUCGCAUGAUCAGCUUUUAAAAGGCGGCGUAAGCUGUCGCUAUGGGAUGGCCCCGCGGUGCAUUAGUUAGUUGGUAAGGUAACGGCUUACCAAGGCGAUGAUAGGUAGCCGGCCUGAGAGGGUGAACGGCCACAAGGGGACUGAGAUACGGCCCUUACUCCUACGGGAGGCAGCAGUGGGGAAUAUUGGACAAUGGGGGCAACCCUGAUCCAGCAAUUCUGUGUGCACGAAGAAGGUUUUCGGAUUGUAAAGUGCUUUCAGCAGGGAAGAAGAGAAUGACGGUACCUGCAGAAGAAGCGACGGCUAAAUACGUGCCAGCAGCCGCGGUAAUACGUAUGUCGCAAGCGUUAUCCGGAAUUAUUGGGCAUAAAGGGCAUCUAGGCGGCCCUGUAAGUCUAGGGUGAAAACCUGCGGCUCAACCGCAGGCCUGCCCCGGAAACUAUAGGGCUGGAGUACUGGAGAGGUGGACGGAACUACACGAGUAGAGGUGAAAUUCGUAGAUAUGUGUAGGAAUGCCGAUGAUGAAGAUAGUUCACUGGACGGUAACUGACGCUGAAGUGCGAAAGCUGGGGGAGCAAACAGG
rnacentral:rRNA from 1 species